CAAGAAAUGAAGACAUCACUUCAGAAUACUCUACAAAAUAUUAUCCAGAAUAGAUUUCUCCAGAGCAGAGUCUGUGACACAAAGCGAACCCAUCAUUCGCAGCAGUGGAUUCAGGCAGGCGUUGUUGGAGUGGUGAAUCUUCACAAGUGACAGCAGAAACUGAUUCCUGUUCUGGCAGCUUUCAACAAAGAAUAGGCACGAGGAAAAGACAGCUGGAAGCAUGCAGAAUGAAACCCUGUACAAAUUCCUUCAAUAACCCUUUCAAAAAACCAGUGGAUGGAUCAUACAACCACCCAAGGAUGGAAAAUGUUAGCACAGGCCUUGUCUCCUUGCUGAAAACAGAUGAUCAGGUCUCAGCAUCUGCCCCUACAGGAUUAACAUCUGAGACAACUAGUCCCUUUGGGGUGCAAUGCAGUAUAAUAGGCACUAAGCAAACCGUCUGUGGAAAACCACCUGAAGAUCAGGAGGAAUACUUGUGGCUUCAGGAAGUUUCCAAUUUGUCUGAUUGGACACACUGAUCUUCACCAGACUGAGGGUGGGUUGAAUGCAUCCCUCAGGCCAUCAACUCAAAUAAGAGAGAAACAAGUAUUAACAACAGCAGGAUACAAGCCACGUACAAUCGAAAAUAACAAAUAACUCAAAAUAACUUCUACCAAGUGUAUAAUAAGACAAAAGGAAAAAUGUAUAAAAUGUUUCUGUGUAACGGGAGAUUUCAUUUUGCUUAUAGGAUCUGGACUAUAUCCCCAGGCAGCUCAGGGUGACCUAGAGAAGAUUAAGAGCCAAUGCAUUCAAAGCACAUUGAACUAAUAUCGAAUCUGACUGCAGCUUAGACCAAGUGCCCUAGUGGCCACCAGUCUGGAUCAUACAGUACAAUAACAGUACCUUUUACACUGCAUCAUUCAGUUACAGAGGCUGCUGUCCUUUGGCACACUGCACCAUCAAAAAAACCCUAGCUGAAUAGGGAGCAAAAGUCAGUAUGAAAUCCAUGUGCUGUAAAGAAUAACAUAGGCUUCCACUUGUUUCAAAAAUACACCUUGUCUAUGGAGUGAGACAGAGCUCCUCUAGCUGUGUUGCUAUGUACCACGUUCCAGCUUCUUGCACAUUUAUUGUUGUUGUUUUCACAAUCUCUCUCAUCGUCUCUGAUAUUCAAUGGGAAGCAAUCCCACAAUGUGUCAGUAGAGAAGUUUUGAACUCUGAUGCACAUCUAAUCCUGGCAAACCCACCUGAAACCUGAACUCAUUUUGUAGGGAAAUUAUGGCUGUGAUUCUGCCAUUUCCCAGCACAUUGUGAAUAAAGAAUUCCUCCAUGCAUUAGGUGCAGUGAAAUUAUUUAUAAAUGUGUUUAAUCUUGCUGCACGUCAUGCGGGGAGGAAUUUUUUUCUCAAGUGGGUUAACAGCCUGGCAGCGUGUUUACCCUGCAUUAAGGAUUUUAAUUUCAAAAAUCUUGCUUAGAACAAUUUUGUCUAAAUUCUUAUGCAAUGAAAGUUCAUUUUUAAUGCACUGCUUUCAUCUCUCUUUAGAGGUGUUUUGCCUAGCAGCUUGGGAAUUCCCACAACUGGGAACUUUUUCUAAACUAUAUUGUGCUUGACUGUGAAGGCGUGUGUUUUAUUCAUAUUUUCACUGAUAUUUUGGCUAUGCCAGUAAAGAUGAUUACAAACAUGUGAAAGGAAAGCAAGACUACUGACUUAUCAACUUUGCAAGCCAAACACUUGGCCCCAAGCAUCACUAUCUCCCAGGAGAGUCAAAAAAAUGCUAUAAAUUCAGGAAAAUUUUGCAGACUCCCGAAGGCAAACCAGCAAAGCCCCAGGAGAUCUCAGUUGUGGUGAGCAACUCAUGAUCACAGUUAAUUAGCAACUUACCCACCAUAACUUGAAAUUGUGAGGUUCUGAUUUAAAAGACAUUUGUGACUGUGUAUUUACCACAUGCAUUGCAAACACCCUACAAGUGUGACGCUUUGAAUUUUUCUAAAUAUACGUAUGUGUGGAUAUUUUACAUACUUUUUUCGAACCUGUGUAAAAUGUCCGUGCCACUGCAAGACUUAAUCAGCACAUUAGUGAAAUUGCCCUAUAUCAGUUAUGCCAUUGCUUUAAAAAAUGAAUACCUUUAUUGAAAUAAAAUCCACUGGGGCAAUUUCACCCCACGGGUUUGUCCUUUGGCUCUUUUCUGUAUCAGGAUAAACAACAUGGUGUUGUUGCUUUUCUUGAACAAUAUGUUAUUAAAAGUCUUAUAUAGUGCAUGCAUUUCCUGAUCACAAAUCUUAUCUCCCUUGUUGUCACAAUUUUUGGUUAUGUUUUUCUGCCAAUGUUUGCCAGUGUCAAGUGUUGUGUUAACAUCAUGUUGUUACCACCACCCCUGCCCCCAAAAACCUGUCACAUAAUUGUUUCAGGAGCUGGCCACUAGGUUAUCCAUGGAGUGAGUCUCUGGUGUCUUUAUCAAUUCCAUCAGUACCAUGUAUAAAUA